rnacentral:misc_RNA from 1 species
GGAGGGAUCAUUAACACUAUUUGGCUGUAGUGCAUGUCAGCAAUGGCAUGUCUGCAGUUCAAAUUCUAUACACACUGUUGAACUCGGUUACCUCGUGUAACCAAUCCUCCCUUUGAAUUGGAAACGUUAAUGUUAGUUUGUAGUGGGUUGAUCGGAUCGAAAGAACCAAUCAACGACUAACAUUGGCUAUCAAAGCUUGACUUUGAAGUUUCCUUUUCUUAGGCAAUUCCACUUAAAAUUUCCUCCACUAUAGAAAUGAACCCAUUUCACACCUUCGUACUCCAAUUGACUGAUCAAAGAAUGCUAAAGAAACCCGCAAGGGAAUCGAUAGCAGGACUAAGAUAAUUCUUAAACUAAGCACAACUCUUAGCAACGGAUAUCUUGGCUCUCGCAACGAUGAAGAACGCAGCGAAACGCGAUAUGUAAUGCGAAUUGCAGAAUUCAGUGAAUCAUCAAAUCUUUGAACGCAAAUGGCGCUCUCGGGAUAGACCCAAGAGCACGCCCCUCUCAGUAUCGGUGAACUUCAUCUCUCUCACUUUCUGUGUAAAAGCAGUUGGUAAGAGGAAAAUGAGUGUCUUAUGACUGUAUUCGCAAGAAUACGAAUAUAAGUCGCUUGAAAUUCACUUAAUGUACAUUUCGGUGUGCAUUUGAGUCGCUGAGAUCUCUCCUAGUACUUUUCUUAAAUCCUCGUGAUUUAAGAAUAGCUUUGAAAGCUAAACCAGUAUUAGUGACGUGGAUAAACCUUACUAUCAUUCGUGAUGGUAAAUUGAAACGUCAAUCAACUGAUAAUGGUUCGGAACGAUAAGUGAAACUUCUAGAGAAAUCAAAGCGAAACAAGAAUUACAUAGUCGUGCAAGUCACUUAGCAAUAAGUAACCGAAUCGAUCAGUCUUUCUUCUCAUUCGAUCUGAGAUGGAGCGGGAUUACCCCCUGAAUUUAAGCAUAUUAUUAAGGGGAGGAAAAGAAAAUAACAAUGAUGACCUCAGUAACGGCGAGUGAAGCGGUCAUAGCUCAAAAUGAAAAUCCAAGAUCUCAACAGGUCUCUGGAAUUGUAUCCUAUUCGACGUGCUAUCAGCGUGUGACUCAAGUACAAGUCCUUUGGAAGAAGGCAUCAAAGAGGGUGAGAAUCCCGUCUCUGACUUGAGCAAUACAAUUCACCGCGUACGAUGCAUGUUCAUAGAGUCGAGUUGUUUGGGAUUGCAGCUCUAAAUGGGUGGUAAGUUUCAUCUAAAGCUAAAUAUUGGCGAGAGACCGAUAGCGAACAAGUACCGUGAGGGAAAGAUGAAAAGAACUUUGAAAAGAGAGUUAAAAAGUACUUGAAAUUGCUAAGAGGGAAGCGCUAGAAACCAGUGUAUGGUACCAUUAACAUUUUGCCUAUUGAGAAGGGUUCAGCAGUACAUCCAGUUGGCAACUCUGGUAGUGCUGUUUGAGCUCGUAUCAGUGGGUCCGGUGUUAGUGGGACGUCAGAAUGAGUUGGAAGUGCAGGAGAAACAGUGGGGAAAGGUAGGGUACAGCAAUGCACCUGUUAUAGUCCCCAUUGAAUACUGUGCUUUCGACUGAGGAACUUCAUGGUGCGCCACUAGGCAUGGAACCCGGUUCCUAAUCGGUGACGUCGGCUUGAUGACAAUGUCAUCCUGUUGGCGUUUGCUGGUUACUGGGCUGGACUUCCAUUUGCAUCGUAUGUUGAUUCUGACUAAAUGGUUUCUAUCGACCCGUCUUGAAACACGGACCAAGGAGUCUAACAUAUAUGCGAGUAUUAGGGUGGAAAACCCAAGAUGCGCAAUGAAAGUAAAGGUAGCUUGCUACUGUGGUAGGAAUCCUAAUCACUAUCGUGAUGGGAGGCACUAUCGACCGAUCCUCACUUGUGAGCCGAUUUGAGUAAGAGCAUAUCUGUUGGGACCCGAAAGAUGGUGAUCUAUGCCUGAACAGGGUGAAGCCAGGAGAAAUUCUGGUGGAGGCUCGUAGCGAUACUGACGUGCAAAUCGUUCGUCUGAUUUGGGUAUAGGGGCGAAAGACUAAUCGAACUAUCUAGUAGCUGGUUCCCUC